UAACCUCCCUGCACUGAUACUAAACAGCAGAUGUGCAGGAAGACAGAAAGUUUUCAACAUGAGAGGAUUUUUACUUUUCCUUUGUCUCUUUGCAUACGUCACUGCAAGUCCAUGCCCAUUUGGACUUCCAGGUUCUUGUGUGCCGCUGGAAGGAGUGAACAACACCAGCAACUUUACUAACCUAGUAGAAACCAACAACACAACAAAAAAUGAGACAACAGAUGCAGAAGUCAAAUUGGAAGGGAUACGGAUUCCAAUUCAAGAACCGACAAAAAAUUGAUCCGUCUGACUGAAUGUUUUCCAUUCUCAACAAAGUGAGACUUGGACCAGAAAAACACUAGAAAAAGAAAACCAUGGAGAAGAAUACACGCUCCUAAAUUCAAGCCAUGAAUUUAAAUAAAACAUUUAAAUGUAA